UGCGUCUUCUCUCUCGUCUGCGAGAUUCACGGUCUCCUUCCCUCUUCACACGUGGAAAUACGAGUUAUGUGACACAACGGAAGAAAAAAAAAAUCAAAGCGUGAGAAACGAUUCACGUGCGAUCGAUCGGAUUAUUCUGCUUUUGAGAAAAGAAAAGAUACCCCGUGUCGAGAAUAAGGGACGCCUUCGAGAAGCCGAAUAAAUAUCAUGCGGACAUGAUGAUCGUCCCUGACCUAUAAUCUCUGUCUAUGACUCUAGACGAGAAUAAAAUAAAAUGUACGGAAGACCAGUAGUGGGAAGUUUUCGGAAAUUUGGAACAAACGAAUGCGGCAAUACAAGUGAGCGACACGAACAAUUUAUUUAUGCGAUCGAAGAUUUGUCAUCGGAAUCGUGCUUGAGACCAUCGAAAAUCGUGGCGUUUUACGAGCGAGGCUAAUUUACGCGUUGCAGCAGGUGGCAAGGAGUGACGGCGCGGCGUCGUGCUGGUCAAAAAUUUCAGCAAGGGUACCGCUUGCCAUCUGGGUUCCUGCCUCCGCGCAGCGGCCAUACGUACCCGAUACCGGAGCCUUACGUGCCCCUCGAGAUUUUCGAGUGCGCUUAUAAAGCGAUAACGCCGCGAAAUUGUAGGUUUUGCGAUGUACUUCCGGUUAAAUAUUCGAUUAUUCGAAUGAGACAAUCAUCGCUUGUUAACGAUUCAUAAUUAGAUGGAAUGUGAUAUUUGUUACGUGUAGUAGUCUCUUGUAAGGAAAAGUUUAUUCCUGAUUUUCCAUUUUUGUUGUAUAAGAGAUUUAGA